rnacentral:rRNA from 1 species
CGGCGGGUGCUACCAUGCAGUCGACGGUAGCACAGAAAGCCUGGUCCCCGGUGAGGAGUGUGGGACGGGUGAGUAAUGUCCGGGAAACUGCCUGCUGGAGGGGGGUAUCUACUGGGGAAAGUUACUCUUACCCCGCAUCGUCCCUAGAGCUGAAAGGGGGACCUUCUGGCCUCUUGCCAUCUUAUGUGCCCCGAUGGGAUUAGCUAGUAGGUGGGGUAACGGCUCCCUAAGCGACAAUCCCUAGCUGGUCUGAGAGGAUGACCUCCCCCACUGUAACUGAGACAGGUCCCCACUCCUACGGGAGGCGCCACUGGGGAAUAUUGCGGAUGGGCGCAAGCCUGAUGCCCCCAUGCCCCGUGUAUGUGAAAACCUUCUCGUUGUAAAGUACUUUUUUGUUGGAAAAAAGCUCUAACGUUAAUAACCUUGGUUAUUGACGUUACCCCCAAAAAAUAACCGGCUAACUCCUUGCCCCCACCCCCGGUAAUAAUACAAGGGGCAAGCGUUAAUCUCAAUUACUGUGCGUAAAGCGCACGCAUGCGGUCUGUCAAGUCUCAUGUGAAAUCCCCCGGCUCUCCUGGGAACUGCUAUUCGUGGAUACUGGGCUACUAGUCUUGUGGUAGGGGGGUAGAAUUCUUCGUGGUAGCGGUGAAAUGCUGUAGUAGAUCAUGGAGAAUACCAUCUGGUGGAAGGCGGCCCCCCAUGGUAGACCACUGUUCGACUCAUGAUGGCGACAAGCGCAAACAGGAGAUAGAUAUCGUGGUACUCGACGUAAUAAAUGAUAUCGGGAUGUAGGUUGUAACUUUGAGGACAGGAUUCAAGAUAUAACGUUAUAAGUGGACCGCGUGGAGAGUACGGCCGCAAGGUUAAAACUCAAGAAAAUUGAGGGGGGCCCGCACAAGCUGUAGUGCAUGUGGUAUAAUUAGAUGCAACGAGAAGAACUUUACGUACUUUUCACAUCCAGAAAAUUUAGCAGAGAUAUUUUGGUGCUUUGGAAAACUAACACACAGGUGGCGCAUGGGUGUUCUCAGCUUGUGUUGAGAAAUUUUGGUAUAAGUCCCGCAGAGAGCGCACCCUUUCUCUUUUUUCCCCCACGUUACGGUGGGGAACUCAAAGGAGACUGCCAGACUAAACGGGAGGAAGGUGGGGAUGAGGUAAGUUAUUAUGGGCCUUUAGGCCUAGGGUUACACAGUUGUUACAAUUAGGGUACAAGGGGAACAAGCCUGGGGAGAGCAGGCGGACCUCAUAAAGUUAUUUCUAUUCGGGAUGGGAUUUUGAAAUUGGAUUCCAGAAAUUGGGAAUGGUUGGUAAUGCAGGAUCGCAAUGCCACGGUGAAUACGUUCCCGGGCCUUGUACACACCGCCCGUCACACCAUGGGAGUGGGUUGCAAAAGAAGCAGGUAGCUUAACCUUCGGGAGGGCGCUUGACCACUGUGUGACUGAUGAGCUGGGGUGAAGUCUAUAUGUUAG